rnacentral:sRNA from 1 species
AAGUGAACUGGUGGUUAAAAAGAGCCUGGCACCUGUUCCCCCUCCCUUUUGCUUCCUCUCUCACCAUGUGGUCAGUUCACACCAGCCUUUCCUUGCCUUGUACUGUGAGUGGAAGCAGCCUGAGGCUGUCAUCAGAAGCAGAUGUUGGUGUCAGGCUUCUUAUAGUUUGUAGAACUGUGAACCAAAGAAACCUCGUUUCUUUAUAAAUUAUUCAGCUUCGGUAUUCUUUUCUCACAACACAAAAUGAUCCAAGACAGUACCUAAAAGCUUCAAUUUGCCAUUUGAUUCUUUCUAUGAGAUGACUAGAUUUUUUAGGAGGACAGGUCUAUCUAUCUGGAAAGAAGCCGUUUGGAAUGGAAGCAGUAUGAAACAAGCAUAAUUUUCUUCGUUUAAGCCAACCUUAUUAUAAGCCCCUGAAUCUUACAACUUUAUUACAUUUCUGCAAAUAUCCAGAAGCUUAUGUAUUUAUUAUUCAUUCAGGCUCUUGAGUUUCUGCUUUCAAGUGACCCUCAGAAAUGCCCCCAUUCACUGCAGAGGUUCUGUUUCUCCUUGUUUUGUUCCGACUUUAUGGCAGAACUAGGUUAAUGAGUUAAUUACUAUGAGUUAUCACUUGGAUUUGAAGAACCAUCAUUUCUAGGCUUUGCUGCUCAGAGUGGGUUUGCCCUCAGGGGAAGCUAUCUAACCAGAGCCUAACCCACUAGGGUUUUAUCAGAACCUAACUGGCCUGAGGAAAAGAAAUAUUCAACUCCAGCAAGCUCCAGCCUUCCAAACGGAGGAGGAGAAAACCCAAAUCCAGCCCACUUCAGCUAUCUUGUCCCACAUAAAGGGGGAGUGGAAGAAACGUGAGAAGCAGGCAUGAAGUUCACAGUCCGGAGGUACAGACACAUCAGAGUUCAGUAUCUGAUGAAUUAGAUGCAAAAUCCUCAACAAAGUAUUAGCAAAUUGAAUUCAACAAUGUAUGAAAAUUAUUACAUGCCAUGACUAAUUGGAAUUUAUCUCAGGUAUACAAGCCAUGCUGAACAUCUGAAAAUCAAUUCAUGUGAUCCAUCACAUUAGCAGAUUCAAGAAAAAAAAAACCACAUUAUCAUAUCAGUAGAUGUAGAAAAAAAAAAUUAACAAAAUCCAGCACGCAUUCACAAUGAAAAUGCUCAGUAAAUUAGAAAUAGAAGGUAACUUCCUCAACUUGACAAGGAAUAUCUCUAAAAACCUACAACUAAAAUCAUACUUAAUGGUAAAAAACUAGAAGCCUUCCCAGUAAGAGUAAGAACAAGGCAAAGAUGUAUGCUCUCACCACUCCUUUUCAACAUCAUAUUGGAAGUCCUAGCUAGUGCAAUAAGCAAAAAAAAAAAAAAAAGUUAUAUUAAUAAGAAAAAAAACCGUGUUUGUUUGCAGAUGACAUGAUUGUCUAUGCAAAAAAUUCAAAA